CUCUCUCGGCUUGCACUAAGGAGGAGGUCACGUGAGCACACAGUGAGAAGGCGGAGGACCAUCUGCAAGCAGGAAGAGAGCCCUCGCUAGAACCCCCCACGGUGGCAUCUGAUAGUGGACUUCUAGCUUCCAGAACUGAACUCAUAAAUGUCACAUCAGGCUGCCUCUUGGUGAAUUUUUAAUCAACGGGGAGAAUUUCAGCUACAAAUAGACCAAGAAUCAAGAGGCCCACUAUUGAUCGGUCAAAGUGGCACUUAUGAACCUGAGGUUGAAGCAGUUUGGAUAAAAGGAUUCUGGGCUUUCGAUGGCCCCAGAGACAUCUUUUUCCAUCAAGUCCAGGCUUGCUGAUCGGUACAGCUGAGAACAUGUUGAAUUUGAUGUGCCUGUGGAUAUUUGAGUCUGGAACAUUGAAGACAAGUUUGGUCUGGAGAUGUAGACUGGGGAUAUCUCAGCACACAGAUGAUAACUGAAAUGAUGGAGCGGAUGAUAUAAACUGGAGAGAGUCUGGUGUGGGAAGAGUCUUCCCUGAGGUGGCCGAAAGAUGUAAUUCUUACUCCAAAGACUGAAAUAGAGACAAGAGAAGCUGAAGUUACAGGGUUUUGUCAUUGGGAAGACAGUAGAGUGUGUCAUAUCCCAAGAGUGAAGCAAGGACAAACCAAAGAACAACUGGGAAGAUCUGGGAGAAAAAGGGCCUGUGCUGAGUGCCACAGGGAACAGCAUUUAGCAACAUCAAGCAGGAGAGGCAGAGAAAGCAGCAAUAACUCCACAUAUGACUUGGAAAUUGGCUCAGUCUCGUGGCAGGAGAUGUGUGUUUUUAUGGUGUUAAGUGUGAAGGAGUGAAAGCAGCCAGUGAUCAGGAGCGCCAACGCAGCUCCUUCCCAGGAGCCUUCCCGGCUGCUUCCCCUUUGUGGGAGAUGUGCUGGAAGGAGUACUAAGAGGAGAGAUGCUUUGCUUUAGUAGGAUGGCAGCUUUGGGAAAGAGACGCGAGAGUGAGUGUGCAGAGAGCUUGUUCUGAGUGCAAGAGAUAAGUGGGAUGAAUCCUGUCUUAGAGGCAAUCAAGCAAGAGAGGAUGGGGUGGCAGGCACUUCAGCUCUCUAGCCCCUCCUUCCAGGGCAGAGCCAUUUUAGAGAUCCACGUCUUUUCCCCAUCCAUAGGCUGCUGAAGCCAGAAACAGCCCAGCACUUAAGAGGGGAGCGGAAAAUGACAUCACUAGUCUGGGCAGUAUCUUCUCAGCCUAAACCAUUAUUCCCUCCCUCCCUUUUAACAAAGACUCCUAGUUUCCCACCCAAUAUCCAGUCUCCAUUUUCUUCCUAACUGAAUGUUGACUUCUUCCCCCUGGGAAACAAGAUAUCAAGGAAAAUGAUGCACCUUGUUUGCCUCCCUUGCAAGUGGGCCUGGCCCAUCCAUCAGAGGUAAGUAGAAGUCAUCAGGUGGGGCUUUCAGGCAAGCUCUUCAAUGAAGCUGACUCAGCUGGGGGACGAUUUUUCUCUUCCUCCUUCUUUCUGCCUAAUAUGUGGACAUCUGUUUGGAUCUUGAGGCAAAUUCGAUGACAGAAUCACAUCCUAGAGGUAUUAAAGCAGACGUUUAGGAGGACACUGGUACCUGAUGACUGCUGUAUCUGCCUAUGACUGGACCUCAGUGUAAGAAGCCACUUGUUUGAAUUUUCUGUGCAUGCAAGGAACUCCAUUCUAAGUGCUGUAUCUCUCGCCCAUGCUGCCUGUAUUAGGUAGGGAAAGUAAAUUUAUCUGCUGUAACAAACAA
ensembl:lncRNA novel transcript